AAUCAAUAUAUUAGCUUUAAUAAAACACAAUUCAUUGGUUUUAAGUUAACCACAAGAGAAGGAAAAGAGUAACAGGAGAAAACAGAUUAAAAGGGGUAAAGGAAGAGAGAAGAAAGAGAGAAGGAGAGAGAGAAAGGAGAGGAGAAUGGCUACCAACAAGAUCCGAUGAUUCACAUGGUGCCAGCUGGAGAGGGAGGAGAGAGAAGGAAGGCUCACGUGGAGUCUCAUGUAUUUACAGAGUUCAGUUUUCCCUCACAGGCAGGAUAUUCAGUCAGUGCCUUCCAGGCCAGAGUGAAUCAUAGAAGCAUAGAAUCAGCUGGGUUGGAAGGGACCUCUGAGAUCAUCAAGUCCAACUGUCGAUCGACGACCACCGUGGUCACUAGACCCUGGCACGGAGUUGUGCUGUAACCAGUCACAGGCUGCAGGGGUGUGGUGUGGGCGGGCUGCCAGGCAGCUCUGCCUUGACUGACAGCCCGGCUGCAGGGCCUUCAGCUCUGCCAUGUGCUCUGCGGGGGCAGCAGGCCUUGCCUUCAGCUCUGCCCUGUGCCCUCAGCACACGCCCUACGUUCAGGCCUUACCACGUUCCUGCAGGUCCAGGCCCAGCCCUUCCCCACACGCACACACACACUCACAGUGAGUUGGUUCUGACCCAUAUCGAUAAUUCAUUGAGGUUCGGAUCCAGGAUCUCACAAUGAGCCAACCAUGUGCUCUCACAGCUCAGAAAAUCAGCUGCGUCCUGGACCACAUCAAAAACAGAGUGACCACCAGGUCGAGGGAGGUGAUUCUGGCCCUCUGCUCUCAUGAGAUCCCAUCUGGAGAACUGCAUCCAAGUCCGGAGCCCUCAGUACAAGAAGGACACAGACAUGUGUAUGAAAAUAUCCCCAGAACCUAUGCAAAGGAAGAGGAGGGACUGUGAUUUUUGCUGCCCUUUCCUUCUCCUCAAAGCUCAGGUUUCUACCUUUCAAUGAAUUAUUGGACAUAUGUGGUUGCUAUGCUUUUCUCCAAAUUAUUUACCCUUUCUCCUGCUUCUGUCUCUCUGUUCCAUAUGAUUUAUUGGGUCACUGGCUUCUCUGUACUGAAAAUGCCACCAGAACCAUCCUAAUUAAAGGACUGAGUCAUGAACAGAAAAGCAAAGUGUAAAAUGAAGAUUUCAGCCCAACAUCCAUAAACAUUGUGGACAGGCAAUUUCUCUGCAAGUAUUUAUAUCAUCACUCCCUGCAUUUUCCAGAAAUAAUUAUUUCUCCUACUUUUGAAUAAUUGUCCUUUCUUAGUAACAGGUUAUCCUCAGGUGUUAAUUAAUGAGAUAAUGCUAAAGAUGGAUUUUUUUCUUCUAGGGUUUUGAAAUAUAUUUUGAAUACAAAGAGAUUUGAGAUGUUUCUUCUUUUAAAACUUGUACUAGGAAAGCCCUAAUGCUCUACUGAUUCAUGAUUUUCACUGGCCUUUAAAUAAAGUAAAAACUCUGCAUACUUUUCUCUUUAACCUGUGUGAAUAUGCACACACAUAUACAAAUAUAUAUACAUCUAUAUUACUCCAAUAGCUAGAUAAUAACAGGUAUAAUAUUCAUAUAAUAAAAUAAUCCAUGGAAAUACUUAUUACUUUAGAAACAGCAGCUUGUGGAAAAUAAUUUUUGAUGCUUUUUAAUGUCUUAAUUUUAUUAGCAUCUCUUGUCUUUACCUGUGCAUUACAGUGUGUUCUUACUAUGAAAUGUAUUCAGGACAAUAUAUCACUUAAAUAUGAAGAAUAUGUAGAUGAUUGAUUUUAUGUGGUCAUGGUGAGAUGAACUCAAACAGAGGGUUAUGCCUUGUAGCUGCAGAAACAUAUUCAUUCUAACACAACUGACCCCAAAAUACAUUCAGCUAAAAUUUGCAGCUGCUUCUUAUUGCUUAAAUUCCAUAGAAAGAUUAUGGUAGAUUGUGCAGUUUUCUCUCCCCCUUUCAAGUAGCAUAAGCAUAGGCUUAAUGCAAACAACUAGUCAAACAGAUGAAUAAAAUAAUAAAUCUUCACUGGAUUAGGAAAUAGUUUUCUCUAUUGCUUUCCUAUUUUUUAUUUUCAGCCAACUGUACAUGUUCAUGUUUUGUCUAUGGAUGAUAGCCUUGGGGGACAAAAAUUGUAGUCUACCAAGACACAGUAGUAGAUCUUGUCUGUGUUUGGAAAGAUUUAUCCAAAGCAAAUGCUAAAAAUGAGAAAAACUCCUUCUAAAACUUUGUCCUCACAUUAAAAUUUUUCUGAUGAAGGGAUGGAAGCUUCUGUUUACAAUCAUCUCCUGUAUAAAAUGAGAGCACUGAGGCCAUUUCCUUUCUCCAUCUUUAAGAAAGAGGAUUCUCAACAUCCUGUAUCAAUUUUUGCUGGUUUUGCACUAUUGUGGUUCUAUACAUCUACCAAUUGCAAGAAGGAAGGAUACUGAUAUGUUGUGAUGAUCUUAAACUUUCCCGUUAUCCUGCUGCCUUCCACUGAAAAGCCAGAAUAACUGCAUUUAAGGAAAUUCUUGAUAGAAAUUUAGUAGAAUAAGCUUGAGUCUAUUUGUCUGACCUGGCUUAAAACUCAAUAUAGGAAAUACAACAUUUAUCCCCUAAAAUGGUAUUUUACUUGUCAUUUCUUAAAUAUAACUCAUAGCUGAA